rnacentral:rRNA from 1 species
UACGUAGGGUGCGAGCGUUGUCCGGAAUUAUUGGGCGUAAAGAGCUCGUAGGCGGUUUGUCGCGUCUGCUGUGAAAACCCGAGGCUCAACCUCGGGCCUGCAGUGGGUACGGGCAGACUAGAGUGCGGUAGGGGAGAUUGGAAUUCCUGGUGUAGCGGUGAAAUGCGCAGAUAUCAGGAGGAACACCGGUGGCGAAGGCGGGUCUCUGGGCCGUAACUGACGCUGAGGAGCGAAAGCAUGGGGAGCGAACAGG